rnacentral:pre_miRNA from 1 species
UGUGUACUCCCUCCGUUCCAAAAUACUUGACUUCCAUUUGUCCAAAAAUGGAUUUACCUAUAUACUAAAACAUGUCUAGAUACAUAUAUAUUUUGACAAAUAGAAGGCAUGUAUUGUGCAACGGAGGGAGUAGAAU